CAUGCAAGUCGAACGGAAACCUUCGGGUUUUAGUGGCGAACGGGUGAGUAACACGUAAGCAACCUACCCUAAAGACGAGGAUAACCAUUGGAAACAGUGGCUAAGACUGGAUAGGAAGAUAAAAGGCAUCUUGUAUCUUUUAAAAGACCUAGUUAAUAGGUAUGCUUUAGGAGGGGCUUGCGCCAUAUUAGUUAGUUGGUAGGGUAAUGGCCUACCAAGACGAUGAUGUGUAGCUGGACUGAGAGGUUGAACAGCCACAUUGGGACUGAGACACGGCCCAAACUCCUACGGGAGGCAGCAGUAGGGAAUUUUCGGCAAUGGAGGAAACUCUGACCGAGCAACGCCGCGUGAAUGACGAAGUACUUCGGUAUGUAAAGUUCUUUUAUUGAGGAAGAAGAGCAAAUGGCGAACCAUUUGUUUGCCGGUACUUGAUGAAUAAGCCCCGGCUAAUUAUGUGCCAGCAGCCGCGGUAAGACAUAAGGGGCAAGUGUUAUCCGGAAUUAUUGGGCGUAAAGGGUGCGUAGGCGGUCUAGUAAGUCAGUGGUGUAAUGGCAACGCUUAACGUUGUCCGGCUAUUGAAACUGCUAAACUUGAGUUAGAUAGAGGCGAGUGGAAUUCCAUGUGUAGCGGUAAAAUGCGUAAAUAUAUGGAGGAACACCAGAGGCGUAGGCGGCUCGCUGGGUCUUAACUGACGCUGAGGCUCGAAAGCGUGGGGAGCAAACAGGAUUAGAUACCCUGGUAGUCCACGCCGUAAACGAUGAGUACUAAGUGUCGGGUUAAACCGGUACUGAAGUUAACACAUUAAGUACUCCGCCUGAGUAGUACGUACGCAAGUAUGAAACUUAAAGGAAUUGACGGGACUCCGCACAAGCGGUGGAUCAUGUUGUUUAAUUCGAAGAUACCCGAAAAACCUUACCAGGUCUUGACAUGUUUUUGCAAAAUGAUAGUAAUAUCGUGGAGGUUACCAGAAACACAGGUGGUGCAUGGUUGUCGUCAGCUCGUGUCGUGAGAUGUUAGGUUAAGUCCUAAAACGAGCGAAACCCUUAUCGUUAGUUGCCAGCACGUUAUGGUGGGGACUUUAACGAGACUGCCAAUGAUAAAUUGGAGGAAGGUGAGGAUCACGUCAAAUCAGCAUGCCCCUUAUGACCUGGGCUACAAACGUGAUACAAUGGCUGUUACAAAGGGUAGCUGAAACGCAAGUUCUUGGCCAAUCCCCAAAAACAGUCCCAGUCCGGAUUGAAGUCUGCAACUCGACUUCAUGAAGUUGGAAUCGCUAGUAAUCGCGAAUCAGCAUGUCGCGGUGAAUACGUUCUCGGGGUUUGUACACACCGCCCGUCAAACCACGAAAGUUGGCAAUACCCCAAAACGGUAGCCUAACUCGUUUAUUCGAGAGGGCGCCGUCUAAGGUAGGGUCGAUGAUUGGGGUUAAG
rnacentral:rRNA from 1 species